rnacentral:rRNA from 1 species
AUGACGAGAGUGAAGAAUAGUUACUAUGUACUUCCAGGAGAACCUGAGCCGAAGCGCACCAUGUCAAACACUCACAGCUUUGGGAAGGUAAUGUUCCUAACAGCUGUUGCCAGGCCUCAAUAUAACAAUGAGGGGGAGCUAACAUUCGACGGGAAGAUCGGCAUUUGGGCAUUCAUCGAAGAGACUGAGGCGAAGCGGACAAGUCAAAACAGAACAAAGGGAACAAAAGUGUUGACAUCAGUGAAAGUAACUAGGCCUGUGUGCAAAGAUUAUCUAGUCAAUAAGGUUAUCCCGGCAAUUCAGGAUAACUGGCCUGACGAUGAUUAG